GGGGUUGUAGCUCAGAGGUAGAGCGAAUACCUAGCAUGCAUGAGGCACGGGGUUCGAUCCUCAGCACCA
rnacentral:tRNA from 1 species